CCUACGGGAGGCUGCAGUGGGGAAUAUUGCACAAUGGGGGAAACCCUGAUGCAGCAACGCCGCGUGAGCGAUGAAGGCCUUCGGGUCGUAAAGCUCUGUCCUAAGGGAAGAAUACUGACGGUACCUUAGGAGGAAGCCCCGGCUAACUACGUGCCAGCAGCAGCGGUAAUACGUAGGGGGCUAGCGUUAUCCGGAAUUACUGGGCGUAAUGGGUGCGGAGGGGGCACUUCAAGUCAGGGGUGAAAGGUUACGGCUCAACCGUAGUAAGCCUUUGAAACUGUAGGGCUUGUGUGCAGGAGCGGAGAGUGGAAUUCCUAGUGUAGCGGUGAAAGGCGUAGAUAUUGGGAGGAACACCACUGGUGAAGGCGGCUCUCUGGACUGUAACUGACGCUGAGGCACGAAAGCGUGGGGAGCGAACAGGAUUAGAUACCCCGGUAGUC
rnacentral:rRNA from 1 species